UACGUAGACCACAAGCGUUAUCCGGAUUUAUUGGGCGUAAAGCGCAUGUAGGAGGUUCGGUGCGUCUCUGGUUAAAGCCACCGCCUAACGGUGGAAGUGCUAGAGAUACGAUCGGACUGGAGGAUGUGAGAGGUGCAUGGAACUCACGGUGUAGGGGUGAAAUCCGUUGAUAUCGUGGGGAACACCAAAGGCGAAGGCAGUGCACUGGUACAUUCCUGACUCUGAGAUGCGAAAGCGUGGGGAGCAAAAGG
rnacentral:rRNA from 1 species